rnacentral:rRNA from 1 species
AUUGAACGCUGGCGGCAUGCCUUACACAUGCAAGUCGAACGGUAACGCGGGGCAACCUGGCGACGAGUGGCGAACGGGUGAGUAAUGUAUCGGAACGUGCCCAGUAGUGGGGGAUAGCCCGGCGAAAGCCGGAUUAAUACCGCAUACGACCUACGGGUGAAAGGGGGGGAUCGCAAGACCUCUCGCUAUUGGAGCGGCCGAUAUCAGAUUAGCUAGUUGGUGGGGUAAAGGCCCACCAAGGCAACGAUCUGUAGCUGGUCUGAGAGGACGACCAGCCACACUGGGACUGAGACACGGCCCAGACUCCUACGGGAGGCAGCAGUGGGGAAUUUUGGACAAUGGGCGCAAGCCUGAUCCAGCCAUGCCGCGUGCGGGAAGAAGGCCU